UGCCAGCCGCCGCGGUAAUACGGAGGAUGCGAGCGUUAUCCGGAUUUAUUGGGUUUAAAGGGAGCGCAGACGGGGGAUUAAGUCAGCUGUGAAAGUUUGCGGCUCAACCGUAAAAUUGCAGUUGAUACUGGUUCUCUUGAGUGUAGUUGAGGUAGGCGGAAUUCGUGGUGUAGCGGUGAAAUGCUCAGAUAUCACGAAGAACUCCUAUUGCGAAGGCAGCCUACUAAGCUAUAACUGACGUUCAUGCUCGAAAGUGUGGGUAUCAAACAGGAUUAGAUA
rnacentral:rRNA from 1 species